UGCAAUAAAACAUAAUCCCUGAGGUAAUUUUUCUUACAUCUCCCCCUCUCGGAGCCCAAGUAUUGUAUACGCCCCCAAAAUAAAGAGGCUUGAAUACAAGAAGAAAAGCACCUAUACCUAGUAAAAUUAAGUGAAUACCUAAAUUUGUGGUCAUUUUAUUUCUACCUUUUCA
rfam:Gossypium hirsutum cultivar TM-1 unplaced genomic scaffold scaffold56.1, whole genome shotgun sequence